rnacentral:rRNA from 1 species
UCAAGUGACUAAGUGCAUGUGGCGGAUGCCUUGGCGAUCACAGGCGAAGAAAGACGCGGCAGCCUGCGAAAAGCUGCGGGGAGCUGGCAAACGAGCUUUGAUCCGCAGAUAUCUGAAUGGGGGAACCCACACCGUAAGGUGUAUCCGUGACUGAAUACAUAGGUUACGGAGGCGAACGAGGAGAACUGAAACAUCUAAGUAUCCUCAGGAAAAGAAAUCAACCGAGAUUCCGGCAGUAGCGGCGAGCGAACCCGGAGGAGCCUAGCUUUUGAUAGUACGAACUUUAGCCGAAAGGUCCUGGAAAGGCCUGCUAUAGUGGGUGAUAGCCCCGUAGGCGAAAGAGUUCGUAUGGUACUAAGGAAGCGAGAAGUAGAGCGGGACACGUGGAAUCCUGUUCGAAGAUGGGGGGACCAUCCUCCAAGGCUAAAUACUCGUGAUCGACCGAUAGUGAACCAGUACCGUGAGGGAAAGGCGAAAAGAACCCCGGGAGGGGAGUGAAAUAGAACCUGAAACCGCAUGCAUACAAACAGUAGGAGCCUCGUCAGAGGUGACUGCGUACCUUUUGCAUAAUGGGUCAGCGACUUACAUUCUGUGGCGAGCUUAACCGAAUAGGGGAGGCGCAGCGAAAGCGAGUUCGAAAUGAGCGUCCAGUCGCAGGGUGUAGACCCGAAACCAGAUGAGCUAUCCAUGGCCAGGUUGAAGGUGUGGUAACACACACUGGAGGACCGAACCGACUAGUGUUGCAAAAUUAGCGGAUGAGCUGUGGAUAGGGGUGAAAGGCCAAACAAAUCUGGAGAUAGCUGGUUCUCCCCGAAAACUAUUGAGGUAGUGCCUCGUGUGUCGCUCCAGGGGGUAGAGCACUGUUUUGGCUAGGGGGACAUGGAGUCUUACCAAACCAAGGCAAACUCCGAAUACCUGGAAGCGUAAGCACGGGAGACAGAGCACCGGGUGCUAACGUCCGGACUCAAAAGGGAAACAACCCAGACCGCCGGCUAAGGUCCCCAAUAACAGCUAAGUGGAAAACGAAGUGGAAAGGCCGUGACAACCAGGAAGUUGGCUUAGAAGCAGCCAUCCUUCAAAGAAAGCGUAAUAGCUCACUGGUCGAGUCCUUCUGCGCGGAAGAUGUAACGGGGCUAAGCUGUUAACCGAAGCCGCGGAUGCACUGAUUAUUCAGUGCGUGGUAGGGGAGCGUUCUGUAAGUCUGCGAAGGCGGUUCGAGAGGACUGCUGGAGAUAUCAGAAGUGCGAAUGCUGACAUGAGUAACGUUAAAGCAGGUGAAAAGCCUGCUCGCCGUAAGCCCAAGGAUUCCUGCUCUACGUUCAUCGGAGCAGGGUGAGUCGGCUCCUAAGGUCAGGCCGAAAGGCGUAGCCGAUGGGAAUCAGGUUAAUAUUCCUGAACCUGCGUCAGAUGCGAUGGGGGGACGGAGCAUGAAAGAUCAUCCGGGUGUUGGAUGUCCCGGUUGACGAGCGUAGGAGGUCUGCAGGCAAAUCCGCAGACGCAUCUCCAAGGCGAAGACACGUGCCGCCACGGCGGCGAAGUGAUCGGAAGUGCUUCCAAGAAAAGCCUCUAAGCACCAGUCUGACGCGGACCGUACCGCAAACCGACACUGGUGGGCGAGCUGAAUAUGCUCAGGCGCUUGAGAGAACUCGGGAGAAGGAACUCGGCAAAUUGACACCGUAACUUCGGAAGAAGGUGUGCCGUAGUACCGUGAGAGGAGAGACACCUUGAGCGGGAAUCGGUCUCAGAGAAUAGGUGGCUGCGACUGUUUAUUAAAAACACAGCACUCUGCAAAGUCGAAAGACGACGUAUAGGGUGUGAUGCCUGCCCGGUGCUGGAAGAUUAAUUGAUGGGGUGAGAGCCCUUGAUCGAAGUCCCAGUAAACGGCGGCCGUAACUAUAACGGUCCUAAGGUAGCGAAAUUCCUUGUC